GCUGGGAUGGCGGAAUUGGCAGACGCGCUAGCUUGAGGGGCUAGUGGGCAAACAAGCCCGUGGGGGUUCAAGUCCCCCUUCCAGCA
rnacentral:tRNA from 1 species